UACGUCAACACACCCAAGUCAAACCCUCCUUCCCCCCUCCCCAUCCUCGACCGUCCGCCACACCGACCGUCCGCCGCCUGAACGCGCGGUGUUGCUCCAGAACACCGGCUAGCCGCUCGAGUGGACCGACAAGCUGGCUCUGGUUCAUGCGACUCGCUAAGAUCGGGAUGUCGGACCAGCUCGAUCUGAUUUGGGAACACGGGGACAACAUAUAUCCCGGAUUCAAAUGCAAGUAUUGCAAGAAACAAUGGAAGGGAGGUGGAACUACACGUUUCAAGCAACACCUUGCAUCGCGCGCGCGGUGGGAGGGGGGGAUGUGCAAGGUUGUCGCAACGUUCUGCCGGACAUUGCUGAUUACUUUCGUCUGGAGAUUGGCAAGGUCCAUGAUAAAAAGAAAGCAAGAGUAGUGGAAGAAGCACGAAAGUUGCAAAUAGCGGGUCCGCAUUGUGGUUUCGAUGAUCAUGAUGAUGAUGUUGAGUUACAAGCUGCAAUAAGAGAUGAGGAGAUUAGGAGGCGUGCUCACGUGACUGGCGGCACGUAUGAGACAAGUGGUGGCUUGUCCCAAGGUGGUGUUCGUGCCGCGUUUGGGAGAACAUCUUCUAGGAAGGAGAAACCACGUAUGGUGCAGACAAGGAUUGAUACGAGACCAUUCUCUAAGGCGGUGUAAAGAAAAUGGACCUCGACCCAUUUGACUAAGUCAUUUUGGUGUUUGAUGAUCAACAUAAUAUGUGGACUAAUAUGUUUGCUAGUGUUUGUGUUUGUAGUUCAUAGGAUGCAAAGAGGAUUGGACUGAAGCUCCGAGGAUUCAACACCUCAAAAAAAGACCUAAACGAUGCGUAGAAGUCCAAGACUCAAGACCAAAAGAAGCCUAAGACAAUAGUGAAGAAACCCAAGAAGUGGGUAGUCAGCCAGCGCUCCGGUAGUGCACCGGACAUAUCCAAUGUACACCGGACAGUCUGCGCAUAGAGCUCCACAAAAAUGGACUCUCGGGAGUUGUAGCAUCGGACUGUCCGGCUAUCCAAACGGUCGACAAUGAAUCUUCCAACGGUCGACUGCUACAGCCCUCAACGGUCGAUAAACGUGGCAAGGGUACUGGACUGUCCGGGGCGCCCGAUGACAGAAACAACCAAUUUUCUGUCCAACGACUAUAAUGGAGGGGAGGCUAUUUAUACCCCUCUAACCAACCAUUUGAAGGUGUGGGAGCCCAAGCAACAUACCAACAUAUGUUAUAGACAUUUUCAAGUGCUCAUACACCCAAGUGCUUAAUAGAAUCACUCGGUGAUUAGCGUAGGUGCUUUGUGAAGUGCUUAGGUUAGCUAGACGACUUAUGUGCUUGCUCUAGGUAAUUCCUAGUUAGUUGAGUGAGUUUAGAAAACCCACAAAAACCCCUAAGCCCUUGUGUGAACUGUUGUAAUUGUAUAGAGUGGGGCGAGAGUCGCGAGACCAUGAGAAUCGAGUUUGUGUCACGGUCGCCACCAUGUAUCAGGGGGAACGAGGCCCACGACGUUUCAGUCGGAAGCUCGAUAGUGGAUAUGGUGAGGAGUGUAGAGGA